GACUACCGGGGUAUCUAAUCCUGUUUGCUCCCCACGCUUUCGUGCAUGAGCGUCAGUACAGGUCCAGGGGAUUGCCUUCGCCAUCGGUGUUCCUCCGCAUAUCUACGCAUUUCACUGCUACACGCGGAAUUCCAUCCCCCUCUACCGUACUCUAGCUAUACAGUCACAAAUGCAGGUCCCAGGUUGAGCCCGGGGAUUUCACAUCUGUCUUAUAUAACCGCCUGCGCACGCUUUACGCCCAGUAAUUCCGAUUAACGCUUGCACCCUACGUAUUACCGCGGCUGCUGGCACGUAGUUAGCCGGUGCUUAUUCUUACGGUACCGUCAUUAGCCUCUCGUAUUAGGAGAGACCGUUUCGUUCCGUACAAAAGCAGUUUACAACCCGAAGGCCUUCGUCCUGCACGCGGCAUUGCUGGAUCAGGCUUGCGCCCAUUGUCCAAAAUUCCCCACUGCAGCCCCCCGUAGG
rnacentral:rRNA from 1 species